GUUGGCUGGAAACCCAGAUGCUCCAGCGUUAGAGGAGGGUUGUUACCAGGAGAUAACCUGCUCCAAAGCUGCUGUUUUUCACGAGUCCACACCACACUGUCCACCUUUAUGUUCUCCUGUUCUGUCACUCUUUUUUUUCCUUUCCACGGCGCAUUUUCGCAGCGCCGAUCACAGAGCGGCCGUCUUUAAUCAGACUCUCCGGGCUGUAAAGUGAGAGAAUCUAAACGUGACGUCAAUGCCUAGUAACUGACGCAACCCUUCAACAAAAAAAUGGCUUUUUAUUUAUUAUUUUUCCUCUUCUCGUCAGCAAAGCCUAAUUACUAAAUUUUACAGUGCUCCGUCGACUAAGAGAAAAAAGAAAAUCCCUCAGGGAGCGCCGGGUAGUCCGUGUUCAUCAGUAUUUGGACCUAUUUAGCCUUCCUGAGUUUCAGCUGCUGAAGUGACUCUUGGACCAGAAGCUUCUGAAGAGGGCGACAAGACAUCAAAUAUUGUCGAUGAUAAUGGCAGCGUCGACGAGUUCCAGGUCUUAGUUGUUGAGGGAGAAAGUAGCGUGUUUUUAAGGCUGGAGGAGGACGUGGUGGUGCUGUUGAAGCCACAUUGGGUUUAAAAAAAAAAUCACUGCAAUGAUGCAACAGAGGGGAAUCGGGGCUCUUGUGCAGAGUUGGAGAGGCAAAAUUAAUUUACAUUACAUGCACUUCACGUAACGAUCCUAAGCGAUGCCUUUUGUGAGUGUUUUUUUUCCCUUCCUCGUACUGUGGCCUAAAAAUAGCAUCAUAGUUUUGAUCGUACGCCAGAAAUAGACAGACGGGUAUCACUUGUAUAAAAAAGGAGGCGAUCCUGAGCAAACUUGGACGUGCCACUUUUAGAACAAGGACGUGCCUGCGCUACGGAGAGAACGAUGACAACCAAAACAACGAGGGGUAAAAAAAAAAAAAGAAAAGAAAGAGGUGACUUGUGGCCGGAGUGGACGCUGCUGACGCCGCCGGAGCCUCCACCUGUGCGCCGGAGAGAAAAAGGUGACCCACGUUUUGGAUGUUUUGCACCGAGGAGCGACUGAGAGACACCGACCUUCCUGCCUCCCUCCCUCUCCCCCCGUCCUCCCAUGCUCUUCUUCAUCCCGAGAACAGGAGCAAAACGAUGUUCACAGAAGAAAGAAAAUGGAAACCACUGCAGCCAGCGAAGCAGAAGAAGGUAGAAAGGAACAAUGAGGGCCCAGAAGGGAGGGAGGAGGCAGCUGGAUGGGCAGCGAGUGAACUCAAAGCGGCCGACACCUUUGUUUCCAUUAGCACCACCCAAAAACCAUGAAAGUCAAGCCGGUUGGAGUGGGACACAUCCAUCCUCCACCCGCCUGCACUCAGAAGAGAGUCGUCUAACUCCAGGCUGGGAAGGAUAAAUAUGUAAACACUUGUGACAGCAGCAGACACCAUGGAAGGCAGCUCUCCACAUGCAGCACAAUCUCCUCAGCUGGAAUUAAAACACACAUAACAGAUCGCUGCUGCUGUGAGUCUGAUGUCGCCGUCGGGUGAAGCAGAACUGCAGCUGUUGGGCUGCGAGGAAACGACCGAGACGUGAAGGUGGACUCUCAAAACGUCCGAUGGGAGUGUGUGUGUGUGUGUGUGUGUGUGUGUGUGUGUGUGUGUGUGUGUGUGUGUGUGUGUGUGUGUGUGUGUGUGUGUGUGUGUGUGUGUGUGUGUGUGUGUGUGUGUGUGUGUGUAUGUGUGUAUGUGUCUAAUUUGAUGAUAUUAUAUCAUAUCUGUUAAAAAAAAUUAGAAAAUGUAAGCUACUUCUGUCUCUCCUAACACUGAUGUAAUGCUGCUGGCUGUUCUACAUGUUCUAUACUUGUUUUCAUGUGAACGUUGUUUGUAAAUUUCUGUUUUCAAAAUCUGAGUCCAUGUCAGAGUCUGUCAAUAUUUAUUGAGCUGGCUGAUGUUGGCUGUGCAGUGAUGCCAGGCUACAAACAAGUGCUAUAAAAUAGAUUAUAUAUUAUAUUAGUAAACUGCAUUUUACUCUACACUUUGUAACGUGACUCGGAGACAGCUGGUCGCUAAUACAUUUAAUUUCAUCCCUUUUAAAAGUGUUACACAACUUGCUGCUCCUUCUUCUCGGUGUCACGUUGACUUCGACCCUCCACUUCUGUCAAAGAAUGCGAGCAGCUGCAUGAUGCAUGUCAACAUGUGGACACAUUUUUAUACUCUUGUCCCUCUGCUGAGUACAUGACAGGCUUUGCUUCGUGCCACAGAGCCUCGGUUUGUCAGAAUUUCAUGUUUAGUUUGUGUGUGAGAGACAGACGGGGAGCAUGGCGGCAGAUGGGGUGUGCUGGAGACUAAAAAUGCUGUUGCAAAUAGCCUCUGUGGGUCGGAGAGGGGGAACAGAGAGCACAUACUGCUGAGGAGAGAAUCGUGACAGUCGGUUGUGGUGAAACAUCCGACGAAUGUGAGCAGGAUUUCGUCGUUCGUGUGCAUUUUAAUGUGAAGUUUAAUGAAAUAAAGCGAUGUAAAUUCA
ensembl:lncRNA